UACGGGGGGGGCAAGCGUUGUUCGGAAUUACUGGGCGUAAAGGGCGCGUAGGCGGUCAGACCAAGUCGAAUGUGAAAUUCCAGGGCUUAACUCUGGCGGGUCGUUCGAUACUGGUCGACUAGAGUGUAGAAGAGGAUGUCGGAAUUCCCGGUGUAGCGGUGACAUGCGUAGAGAUCGGUAGGAACACCAGUGGCGAAGGCGGUCUCCUGGAGCUAUCUUGACGCUG
rnacentral:rRNA from 1 species